rnacentral:lncRNA from 1 species
UUUGGUCUCAUCGCACACAUUAAUGAGGUAAAAUCCAAUCUAUGCCACUAUAUGAUUUGGGGCAAGUUACUUAACAUCUGAGACCUUCAAUUUCCACAUCUGUACAAUGAGAAUAAUUUCAAUCUCAUAGGGUUUGUUGUGGACAAUUGCCGUCUUUGCUGCCCAGAAUUUACUAUGCUUUGGCAACAUUGCCUUAAUUUUGCUUGGGGAGCCAGCCCUCCUCCACCUCUGCCCAUGUACUUCCGGUGACAGUGAUGGCCCUGGAGGGAGCACAGGGCCUGAGCUCAGACACUCAGCACUCUUCCUCCUCCUCACCAUGGUGUCUGACCCAUGGAUGAGCCACAGGAAAAGAAGCUCAAUUCCUAGGCUCUUGUUUUGAACUCUCACGUAAGCAGACUCACUCAUUUCUACUGGAUUUGGUCCUAAGUUGCUAAAGUUUGGGGAAAAUUGGGUUACAUAUAGCUUAUGUGAUUAACUCCAUAAAUGAAUAUGCAACAGAAUUUAACCUGGAAGGAAAAAGCCCAGGAGUUGUUGCUGGCAGCUCUCUUGUAACCAUGAGGGGAGAGCUUGUUGGAGAAGAGUUAACACUCAGCAAGCAGAGCUGAGAAACAGAGAGAAAGCAGGCUGCUUUCAGGGCCUGUGAGCUCUGGAUCAGGCCACGCCCAAAGCCAAUUUGUCUCAGCUUAUUUACUAUAUCAGCUAACAUUCCAAUUUUGGGGUUUAGCCAGUUUGGUCAGAUUUUCUACCACUCAUGUUGAAAAACUCUUAACUGAAACAGAGGUGUUGUGAAGAUUACAGAUUAUAAGGGCAAAAUGGUGGCUGUAUCAGUGAACAGUAGUCAGGAUUAUUUUUUACUUUCCAGUGACUCAAACCUCUCCUAAACUGCUCUCUCAGUUUUGGCUCCGUCUUCCCAUGAUAAUAAUAGGUGGUGUAGAGAGGUGACAGAGUCAAGGAACAUGGUUCUUGUUUUCUGAAGAUGGUUCUUUCCUCAAGCCCUUUGAGUCUUCUUUGGUCUUAUAUUCUCAUCACAGAAGGAGAGGUGAUUGUCUUUCCCCAGUUUUGUCUACCAUUCCGGUUCCAUCUGCAUUCCCGGAGGAGUCCUGUUGAGGGCAGAGUGACUGUGAGCAAAACAAGAAGAGCUGUGUCACCAAGUUCCAUAAAAUCUGGGAGCCCAAGCAGCAUAUUUGUGGGAUUUGUCUGACAGAACGCAAUGGAAACAGAGCGUGGCAUUCGCUCCAUCUCCCCCAGGUCACCUGUGGAGAAAGAAACAUCAUCUCUCAACAGAGGAUUGUUCCUCCGUUUGAUGAUACGUGCAUCCUGCCAUCUGGAAUUCAAUUGACUGUUCUGUCUUGGAGCCAAGAAUCUAGAAACUCUCCAAUCCUGAAGUCAAAAUGGAAUGCAUCUCUGCUCUUCCUCUGGGCAUCAUCUAAUUUUUUUGUUCUUGUUUUCCUUGUGCUGGAAUCUACAACACCCUCUCCUAGCCCCUCAACCAGCCUUUCUUCUGCAGAGCAACUUAGUUCUAAUUAGCAACUACAAACCUAUUCACCUACAUCCAAGAGUUCAGUAGUGUCUUUUAAGUAUGUAACAGGCAAUUCUUUUACAUUUUAUUGAGAUGACUACUUUAAAAAAAUUGGUUGCUACCCAGAACUGUUUAGAACAUUGCUUGCUUUAGGUAAGUGAGUGAAGCAAGAUGUGAUAACAUAGGGCUGGGGGACUAGAGUUGGGUAAUAUGGUAGCACAUGAUUUUGUUACUUGAGAUUGCCUGUAAUUGUAGACAUCAGUGAGCAGGGUGAUAUGAACCUCACAGGGGCUCUUGAAGUUCUGCUUCUUCCCUAUUCCUUAAUGCAAUACAAUAUUUAGGUUCAUCUUUUCAAUUUUCCUGGAGAAAUUAAAUACUGUGCCAUAAUAAAAAAAUAAGUAAUUUGAAAGUAAAGGAAGGGCAUGAAUGGAGAGAAGGCAGGAAAACAUUCUAGGUUGGAAAAAAUGGCAGAAGUAAUGUUGGGACAUUGGAGUGAUGGUGGAGGUGGGAAUAGAGUCUAGGAUCUCUUCAUCCCAUACUAUGCAUCUAUCUUCACAAAAUUAGUAUGGCCAAAUAUUAAAUCAGCUCAUUUCUGGUUGGGAAAAGUAGGGUGAAUGUGCCUUUCUAGCUGUCCUUGAGAUGUAAAUCUCCUGUAACAUAGCUUCCCUAGUGGUCACCUCAAAGGCUUUGUUCUCUCCAGGAUAGAUGCUACAGAGUGGGACAGUACUUGGUGUGUGUGUAUCUCAAUUUUUUUUUAACAUGACAAAUUGAACUAGGGGCAAGAGAAGGAUAGACAGAGGAGCCUAUGAUGGGGUGGUGGAUACUAAAUAUUUUCCAGGUGUAAGGAGCAGAGGAGGAAAAGGGAGACUGGGUAACCCUUUUUCAGACCAUCAUUUAGUCCAUUUUAUGUUGCAAAUAUUAGCAAACCUACUCCAGCUUUCUUAAACAGUAGGGUUUUCAUUACAACAUAGUUAAGAGAGUAGGCUUAGGAGUAAGAUUGCUUGAUCCUGAGUAAGUUACUUAAUCUUGGUGUCUCAGUUUCUUCAUUCCAGUUAAGUAAAUAUAUUUAAAUUAAAUUAUAUUAGUUAGUAAAUGUAAAGCACACAGAAAAGUGUUUGGCUUCUGGUGAGCUUUCAAUAAGUGUUAACUAUUAUUUGUUAUUAUUAUUUUAACAAAACCAACCUCCAAAACCUAUGAAGUCAGUUUACAGAAAGCCACCAGGAAAAGGGAAAUAAGAAGAUUCUUUACUUUGCUGUCAUUUGAUACACUUAGCAUUUUAAAUGACUAUAUGUACAAUAUUAACCAUGCCUUUCCACAAAACUAUGUGUGUGCAUAUGAAUUACAGGGCUUUCAUUUGAAACUGAACUAUCUGUGUUUGUAGUCACUUUAAUCAUACAACAAACCUACAAAAUAUUUAAGCAUAAAUUAUCAUGAUGACUAAAUAUGGAAAAGCUUCUGUUACCAAAACCUGCACCCAAAUUGACUGCACAGGAUGGGUAAUUGGAUGGUGGUGUAAAGAAUGCUCAUGAGGACUAGGCUGCUGCUAAUUAGAUCUUCUAUGCUAUUUAAAUGUUCUCCAAGCUUCAGGGAGUGCCCUGAAGGCAGUUGGACAUUAGCCUUGUGGUUUUUGAGGGUAACCUACAGUUUGUCAGCACAGGGGUGGAGGUGAGCACCAUGGGACUUUUCCCAGGCUGCUGGUUAACAUACUGUGGUUUCAAUCCUUUAAGCCAAUAAAUGGAGGAGAGAGAAAGAAGGCAGACUGAAAUUAGAGGAAAAGAGACAAAGAAAGGAAAAGUGGAAGUAAGAAUAAUAUUCAUGAAAUGUCUUCUUUGGGCCAGAUAUUUUUUUAGGAACUUUCACAUAUUGUGCUUACAUCAACUCUGUGGGAAAUGUAUGAUUAUACUAUCCUCAUUUGUAACAGACAUUGUUGGGUGCCUAUAUAACAUAUAACAGCUAUUUUUCUUCAUUUUUUUCUUGCUGAUGGCGCUUUUUUUUUUUUAGUGUUUACUUCCCAUACAAAACUUAUGUCUCCAUGUCUCCAUCCUUCAGCAAUAGGGGUAAUUCUGAAAGGUCAUUGUUUUGCAAUUGCCCUUGAAAGGAAAUUCUUGGACAUAACAACAGAUAAGAUUCUAGCCAAUGAAAGGUGAUGAGAAGGUUGCUGAGAAGUUUCUGAGAAAGGUUUCUUUAUUCUUUAACAAAUACCCUGGAAAGAGACAGGCCUUCUGCUGCUGUUCAUGGUUGUACCUGCACAGGAUGCCUGAAAAGGAGUAACCGUGGGGUCAGAAGAGGAGCCAGCGUGAGGACAAAGCAGAUACACUGAAGUACCACCUGUCACUGAAUUUUUGUGCAAGAGUAUAAACAUUCUCAUUGUUUAAUCUUUCUGUGGGAGACGCUUUACUAUGUGUAGCAAAGUCAUUCUAACUGACAUACCAUUUUCCAUUGUAUGAGAAAACUGAUGUACAGAAAGGUUAAGAAACUUGCCUGCAUUUGCAUGCAUAAUGAGGAGUGGAGAGAACAGGUUGUGCCUUCUAAUAUACAGGCAAGAUAUGUCUCUUUUAAACAGCACAUACAGACACACUCCAAAAUGACAAUUUCCAUCAUUUUUUAAAAAUUAAAUGAGACAAAGACUCUAAAACUAUUUAAAUAACAUGUACAUUACUGUCUUGGGAUUUAUUUUUGUUUCAGCUCUAUUGAGAUAUAGUUGACAAAUAAAAUGGUAUGAAUUUAAGGUGUACAAUGUGAUGAUUUGAUGUAUGUAUAUAUUGUGAAAAGACCAAAAUAAAGUCAGUUAACAUAUCUAUUACUUCACCUUGUUAUCAUUUUUUUUGCGGUGAGAACAUUUAAUAUCUGCUCUCUUAGGAAAUAUCAAAUAUACAACACAGUAUUGUUAAUUAUAGUCUGUGUUCCCUUUGACCAAUGUCUCCCCAUUUCCCUGACUUCCUAGCCCCUGCUAAUCAACAUUAUAUUUUGUUUCUAUAAGUUUGACUUUUUCUGGUUCCACAUAUAUGUGAGAUUAUACAGCAUUUGUCUUUCUCUAUUUGACUUUUUAAAAAAUUUUUUUAUUUGUUGGGUUUUUAAAAUUAUACUUUAAGUUCUAGGGUACAUGUGCACAACGUGCAGGUUUGUUACAUGGGUAUACAUGUGCCAUGUUGGCUUGCUGCACCCAUCAAUUCGUCAUUUACAUUAGGUAUUUCUCCUAAUGCUAUCCCUCCCCCAUUCCCCCUCCCCUGGACAGGCCCUGGUGUGUGACAUUUCCAGCCCUGUGUCCAUGUGUUUUCAUUGUUCAACUCCCACCUGUGAGUGAGAA